AUCUGUGCCAAAAAAAACCUUGGCCAAAAAAACUCUCCUGCCCAGAGCAGAUCGAUCUCCACCGCCGACCAGACCUUCGCAUGCCCGAUCUCACGCUCGAUCGCACGCGCGAUCCACCCCUACUCCCCCUCCCCGGCCGAUCCAUCCCGGUGCCCCGGCUGAUCCACCCCUACGCCCCCUCCGCGGCCGAUCCAAACCUUCGCCGUCGCGCUAGCAGGAGGCGGCUAUCUGCUGUGGGAUCGGGCGAGGUGACGCCGGCGAUCACGACCCCGAUCCGACGGCGACCCCCUUCUGCUCUUCUCCCUCUCCUCUAGGGUUUUGGUGCCGCCAUCUCCGCACUUCCAGAAGGAGAUCGGGAGAGGCUGAGCCCAGAGCUAGAUGAAGGAGAAGAGAAUGUCCAUGGAUCAUUAAGGGGCGGCGGCGACACGAGGCUGAUGAAGGUGUUUGUAGGUGGCCUGGCGUGGGAGACGAGCAAGGAGGGCGUGCGCGUCCACUUCGAGCACUUCAGCGAGAUCCUCGAGGCCGUCGUCAUCGCCGACAAGGGCACCGGCAGAUCCAAGGGCAGCAAAUUCUCCAGUUAAUUGAUGCUAUGCCUAAAUGGAUGCUUGGUAAGUUAUGUUCUGGAGGCGGAGGCGGCCAUCAAGACAUGGUGAAUGGCGUCCAGAGGGCCAACUGCAACCUAGCUCGCCUACCUUGGGAUCCAGAGGUCCAAGGCACCACAACCAACUGCCUCUGCAUCCAUAUUCUGGGUGGUGUAGCAAGCAAGCAAGAAUUGGAGAGUCUUCGGUGCAUGCUUGGAGAAGAGGCUAAGAUGAGAGGCUUCAAUCUGGAGAUGACAAGGAUAGUCACCUGGUGCAACUAAAGGUUCGGUUUCAUACUUGUGAAGUUGUGAUGAUAUUGUUCAGGUAGUACUCCCUGACUGAUUUCACUUGUACUAUUUCUUCACAGAAGGUACUAAGAUAUCUUGUCAUACUAAUAUUUAAUUUCUACUGAUACUUUGUGAAAAUACUCAGUUUUCUUAUACUAAAAUAUACCUGUUUACUUUUGUACUGAAAUGUACCUUCUUACAAAUAUUUCAUAGGAAGGAGGAGGUUAAGGGAGAAAAAGGCAUGUGGAGACACGAGCCAGCUCAAGGAGAAGUUAACCCAUAAAUUACUUAAAUAAUAAUUUAAUAAACCUCUAAUUUACCUUACAGAAUAAAAGGCCUAUGAUGAAAGAAUAGCAUCCAGAAAAAAUACAACUAGAUAACGGCACAAUUUCAUAUGUGAGAAUGACAAAUUAGAGAGCUUAAACAUUAAGUUGCCUCCAAAGCUUUGCAAACCGCAAUGGUACAAAACUAAGUUCAGUUCUUACUGGUUUCUUACUGCAUGAAGAACUCUCGUCGUUACCAUUUUCCAAACCUGUAGCAAGCAAUGCAUUAGAUGACAAUUCAAAUUAUUGGACACCAAGACUGCUGAGAAGCAUUAUUGUAACAAACAUGGAAAGAGCUUACAUCCAUGACAUCAUCAUCCCCAUGCCUCUGACUUUUAUCCCUUUGUUCAGGUGUCAAGUAGUUGGCCAUUGGCGGAAGUUAGGUCCAGGGGGAGACUCCGGUGUCCAGGAACUCUGCCCAGGAAAGACGUCAAUCAUAAGUUCCAGGUGCUCAGGCAAGUAGUAACAUACAAAGCACACGAUGGAAGAGAUGGCGUUCCCAGAGAUGUGAAUCACAUGGGUGCGGCAUCAAGAAUGCUGCAAAGCAGAAUCUGAACUGGAAGACACAUCCACACAUAAUCAUGUGGUACCAGGAAAUUACCGAAACUCUUUCUACAGUCUUCGGUGCAUGCUUGGAGAAGAGGCUAAGAUGAGAGGCUUCAAUCUGGAGAUGACAAGGAUAGCCACCUGGUGAAACUAAAGAUUUCUGGAUAAGUGUUUCAACUGAUGGAUUCGGAUGAAACUUUCAAAAUGUCAACUGACACUGCCAUUGAUGUAACGAUAUCAUCAAGUUUUACUCAACUACAAGAUGAGAUGCAUACAAAUAACUAUUAUUUUUUGUAUGUGUGAUGCACAUGAUAACUUAAAGGGUGUAUUUUUAUAUAUGUUUAUUUUUGAAGAAUGAAAUGGAUUAUGUCGAUGUUUAAAAAGAAUCCAUCGACAAGGGUCCCGAGGCGACGUCGUUCGGAGGAGACGAAAAUUCAGCGAGUUUUAUAGAGUGAAAAACGUGCAAGCGAGGAUAGCCCAUAAUAAGAACAUUAAAGGCAAAAUAAAUAAAUGUUACACAUGGGAUAUUAUUUUUACUGUGAUUAUCGUUCUGUUCUUUCAUCCAUUUUUUUAUUCAUGUGAUUUGGCUCAUUGUGAUAUCAUAACGGCAGAUUAUGUCUGCACCCCUAAAGAUAUUACCAUCAUUGCAUCAAUCAUGUAUGUUAUGAAAAAAGUUUGCAAAACAUUAACAUUGCCAAUGAAAUGGAUUUAAAUUAUUUUCCAUUUGUUAUCUUUUAUAUACAUGCAAAUUUUAACACCUGUUAUGUUUAUAUAUAAUACCAGCAAAAUACUUAAAUGGCCGUGGUGAGUAUUCUCCGUUACACAUUUUAAGACCUUCAACUGAAGUAUUCAUGUUAACUACAUAUAUUGCUUGUGUAAGAUGGUUAUGAGUUGAGGAAGAAGUUUUUAUUAUGCUUGCUCAAAUAUCAUACAAAUAAAGCUAAAAACAACAUUACUGAUAUUGUGCGAGAAUUUCUUAAUCGAAUCAAGAAUAUCUUAAUUAGUAAUAAUUCUUAGUUGGAUCAUCGCUCUUAUGUAUGAAUCAUCAACUUGCUUUUAUGAUCUAUUUAUAUUGCAAGUAAAGUGGACUUCAAUUAUUACGCGGUUGCACUCGUGCUAUUGUGUCUUUAUUACAUGUAAAAUUUAACAUGUGUUUAUAUAACU